rnacentral:snRNA from 1 species
GUGCUUGAUUCAGCUACACAUAUAUUAAAAUUGGAAUGAUCCAGAGAAGAUUAGCAUGGCCCCUGCACAAGGAUGACACACAAAUUCAUGAAGUGUUCCAUAUUUUA